GACGAACGCUGGCGGCGUGCUUAACACAUGCAAGUCGAACGGAAAGGCCCUGCUUUUGUGGGGUGCUCGAGUGGCGAACGGGUGAGUAACACGUGAGUAACCUGCCCUUGACUUUGGGAUAACUUCAGGAAACUGGGUCUAAUACCGGAUAGGAGCUCCUUCUGCAUGGUGGGGGGUGGAAAUUUUCGGCGGUUGGGGAUGGACUCGCGGCUUAUCAGUUUGUUGGUGGGGUAGUGGCUUACCAAGGCUUUGACGGGUAGCCGGCCUGGGAGGUUGACCGGCAAAAUUGGGACUGGGUAAGGGCCAAGACUCCUAGGGGAGGAAGAAGUGGGGAAUAUUGAACAAUGGGCGGAAGCCUGAUGAAGCAACGCCGGGUGCGGGAUGAGGGCCUUGGGGUUGUAACCCGCUUCGGCAUGUGCCAAAGCGUGAGUGACGGUAAUGGGUAAAGAAGCACCGGCUAACUACGUG
rnacentral:rRNA from 1 species